rnacentral:rRNA from 1 species
GGAAGUAAAAGUCGUAACAAGGUCUCCGUUGGUGAACCAGCGGAGGGAUCAUUACCGAGUUUACAACUCCCAAACCCCUGUGAACAUACCACUUGUUGCCUCGGCGGAUCAGCCCGCUCCCGGUAAAACGGGACGGCCCGCCAGAGGACCCCUAAACUCUGUUUCUAUAUGUAACUUCUGAGUAAAACCAUAAAUAAAUCAAAACUUUCAACAACGGAUCUCUUGGUUCUGGCAUCGAUGAAGAACGCAGCGAAAUGCGAUAAGUAGUGUGAAUUGCAGAAUUCAGUGAAUCAUCGAAUCUUUGAACGCACAUUGCGCCCCUUGGUAUUCCAUGGGGCAUGCCUGUUCGAGCGUCAUUUGUACCCUCAAGCACAGCUUGGUGUUGGGACUCGCGUUAAUUCGCGUUCCUCAAAUUGAUUGGCGGUCACGUCGAGCUUCCAUAGCGUAGUAGUAAAACCCUCGUUACUGGUAAUCGUCGCGGCCACGCCGUUAAACCCCAACUUCUGAAUGUUGACCUCGGAUCAGGUAGGAAUACCCGCUGAACUUAAGCAUAUCAAUAAGCGGAGG